rnacentral:rRNA from 1 species
UGGUUGACCUCGGAUCAGGCAGGGAUACCCGCUGAACUUAAGCAUAUCAAUAAGCGGAGGAAAAGAAACCAACAGGGAUUGCCUCAGUAACGGCGAGUGAAGCGGCAACAGCUCAAAUUUGAAAUCCGGCCCCCCCCCGGGGCCCGAGUUGUAAUUUGCAGAGGGUGUUUCGGGCGCGGCGCGGGUCUAAGUUCCUUGGAACAGGACGUCGGAGAGGGUGAGAAUCCCGUACGCGACCCGCAACCGAGCCCGUGUGAAACCCCUUCGACGAGUCGAGUUGUUUGGGAAUGCAGCUCAAAAUGGGUGGUAAAUUUCAUCUAAAGCUAAAUACCGGCCAGAGACCGAUAGCGCACAAGUAGAGUGAUCGAAAGAUGAAAAGCACUUUGGAAAGAGAGUCAAACAGUACGUGAAAUUGUUGAAAGGGAAGCGCUUGCGGCCAGACCUGCCCCCGGGCGAUCAGCCGCUAUUCGUAGCGGUGCACUCGCCUCGGGAACAGGCCAGCAUCGGUUCGGGCGGCGGGAGAAAGUGCCCGGGAACGUAGCUUCCUCCGGGGAGUCUUAUAGCCCGGGCUGCCAUGCCGCCCGCCCGGACCGAGGACCGCGCCUUCGGCUAGGAUGCUGGCGUAAUGGCCGUAAGCGACCCGUCUUGAAACACGGACCAAGGAGUCUAACAUCCAUGCGAGUGUUUGGGUGUGAAACCCACGCGCGGAAUGAAAGUGAACGGAGGUGGGACCCCGGAAGGGUGCACCAUCGACCGAUCCAGAAGUCUUCGGAUGGAUUUGAGUACGAGCAUGGCUGUUGGGACCCGAAAGAUGGUGAACUAUGCGUGGAUAGGGUGAAGCCAGAGGAAACUCUGGUGGAGGCUCGCAGCGGUUCUGACGUGCAAAUCGAUCGUCAAAUCUGCGCAUAGGGGCGAAAGACUAAUCGAACCAUCUAGUAGCUGGUUACCGCC